GAAUCCCGUCUUUGGCAUGGACACACCAGGGCUUCUGUGAUGCGCUCUCGAAGAGUCGAGUUGUUUGGGAAUGCAGCUCAAAAUGGGUGGUGAACUCCAUCUAAAGCUAAAUAUUGGCGAGAGACCGAUAGCGAACAAGUACCGUGAGGGAAAGAUGAAAAGCACUUUGGAAAGAGAGUGAAACAGUACGUGAAAUUGUUGAAAGGGAAACGCUUGAAGUCAGUCGCGUCGGCCGAGACUCAGCCUUGCCUCGGCUUGGUGUAUUUCUUGGCCGACGGGUCAGCAUCAAUUUCGCCCCUUGGAUAAUGAUGAGGGAAAUGUGACACCUUUACAGGUGUGUUAUAGUCUCUUGUCGCAUGCAAGGGUCGGGAUUGAGGAACUCAGCAUGCACCUUCGGGUGUCGGGACUUUUGUCCACGAUGCAUGCUUAGGAUGUUGGCGUAAUGGCUUUAAACGACCCGUCUUGAAACACGGACCAAGGAGUCUAACAUGCCCGCGAGUGUUUGGGUGGAAAACCCAUUCGCGAAAUGAAAGUGAAAGUUGGGACCUCUGUCGUGGAGGGCACCGACACCCGGACCAGACCUUCUGUGACGGAUCUGCGGUAGAGCGUGUAUGUUAGGACCCGAAAGAUGGUGAACUAUGCCUGAAUAGGGUGAAGCCAGAGGAAACUCUGGUGGAGGCUCGUAGCGAUUCUGACGUGCAAAUCGAUCGUCAAAUUUGGGUAUAGGGGCGAAAGACUAAUCGAACCAUCUAGUAGCUGGUUCCUGCC
rnacentral:rRNA from 1 species